UGGCGGCGAGUGGCGAACGGGUGAGUAAUACAUCGGAACGUACCCAGAAGUGGGGGAUAACGUAGCGAAAGUUACGCUAAUACCGCAUACGAUCUACGGAUGAAAGUGGGGGACCUUCGGGCCUCAUGCUUUUGGAGCGGCCGAUGUCUGAUUAGCUAGUUGGUAGGGUAAAGGCCUACCAAGGCGACGAUCAGUAGCUGGUCUGAGAGGACGACCAGCCACACUGGAACUGAGACACGGUCCAGACUCCUACGGGAGGCAGCAGUGGGGAAUUUUGGACAAUGGGCGCAAGCCUGAUCCAGCAAUGCCGCGUGAGUGAAGAAGGCCUUCGGGUUGUAAAGCUCUUUUGUCAGGGAAGAAACGGUUCCGGCUAAUAUCCGGGGCUAAUGACGGUACCUGAAGAAUAAGCACCGGCUAACUACGUGCCAGCAGCCGCGGUAAUACGUAGGGUGCAAGCGUUAAUCGGAAUUACUGGGCGUAAAGCGUGCGCAGGCGGUUUUGUAAGUCUGAUGUGAAAUCCCCGGGCUCAACCUGGGAAUUGCAUUGGAGACUGCAAGGCUAGAAUCUGGCAGAGGGGGGUAGAAUUCCACGUGUAGCAGU
rnacentral:rRNA from 1 species